ensembl:snoRNA SNORD22 Small nucleolar RNA SNORD22
UCCCAAUGAAGAAACAUUUCACACGUCUUACUUCCUGUCCUAGUCCCAGAGCCUGUAAAGGUGAACCCACUGGGGCUGGCUGGGGGAGAAGAGGAAAGCUUGUUCCAGAAGGAACUGUCUGAGGGAU